GACGAACGCUGGCGGCGUGCUUAACACAUGCAAGUCGAACGAAGAGCGAUGGAAGCUUGCUUCUAUCAAUCUUAGAGGCGAACGGGUGAGUAACGCGUAAUCAACCUGCCCUUCAGAGGGGGACAACAGUUGGAAACGACUGCUAAUACCGCAUACGAUCCAAUCUCGGCAUCGAGGAUGGAUGAAAGGUGGCCCCUAUUUAUAAGCUAUCACUGAAGGAGGGGAUUGCGUCUGAUCAGCUAGUUGGAGGGGUAACGGCCCACCAAGGCGAUGAUCAGUAGCCGGUCUGGGAGGAUGAACGGCCACAUUGGGACUGAGACACGGCCCAGACUCCUACGGGAGGCAGCAGUGGGGAAUCUUCCGCAAUGGACGAAAGUCUGACGGAGCAACGCCGCGUGAGUGAUGACGGCCUUCGGGUUGUAAAGCUCUGUUAAUCGGGACGAAAGGCCUUCUUGCGAAUAGUUAGAAGGAUUGACGGUACCGGAAUAGAAAGCCACGGCUAACUACGUGCCAGCAGCCGCGGUAAUACGUAGGUGGCAAGCGUUGUCCGGAAUUAUUGGGCGUAAAGCGCGCGCAGGCGGAUUGGUCAGUCUGUCUUAAAAGUUCGGGGCUUAACCCCGUGAUGGGAUGGAAACUGCCAAUCUAGAGUAUCGGAGAGGAAAGUGGAAUUCCUAGUGUAGCGGUGAAAUGCGUAGAUAUUAGGGAGAACACCAGUGGCGAAGGCGACUUUCUGGACGAAAACUGACGCUGAGGCGCGAAAGCCAGGGGAGCGAACGGGAUUAGAUACCCCGGUAGUCCUGGCCGU
rnacentral:rRNA from 1 species